rnacentral:rRNA from 1 species
ACUUUAAUUGAAGAGUUUGAUCAUGGCUCAGAUUGAACGCUGGCGGCAGGCCUAACACAUGCAAGUCGAGCGGUAACAUUUCAAAAGCUUGCUUUUGAAGAUGACGAGCGGCGGACGGGUGAGUAAUGCCUGGGAAUUUGCCCAUUUGUGGGGGAUAACAGUUGGAAACGACUGCUAAUACCGCAUACGCCCUACGGGGGAAAGCAGGGGA